AGCUAUCUGUAUACCCAUACAGUGCUGAAUUUCUGCCUUAUUUUUCUGUUUGUGUAUAUGUACGUAUAUAUGUUAUGAGAUUAGUAAAAAAAUCUUAUUUUUUAAAGUUGUCAAGUAAGAUUUGUGGUGACUGAGAACAUCAGAAGUUAAUUAAAGUAAUUGCAAUGUAGGCAGAAAUUUAAGCGUACAGAUUUUUUUUUCAUUAAAAAAAUUGUACGUAAAAUGUUUUGCAUGUCUCCCAAGUUUUUGAAAUCUAAACGAUUGACAGUGUCCUGUUAUUUUGAUAAACGUCUUCUGUGCAUAAAAUAAUCAUCACAUCCUGAAUUUAUUAAAGGGCUGAAUAUUCAAAGAGCAUGCAAACGAAGACCCAGAAAAGCUACCAGUAAGGGAAAUGGCUACAUCUGUGAAAGAAAGGUACAAUAAAAAAAAUAGGUAGAAUUAAGUUACUAAACAGUGAUGCCUCCUGUUAGCUGUUCUGUUUAAGGAACAUUAUCUUUUACCGUUAUCUUCCGAAGAAAAAUAAUGCACGGCACAUGCAAUUCUGUAUGGUUUAUUCUAGGUUAAUAUUGCUGUACUUUACACAUUCAAUAAACAGAGACAUUUGGUUUGUGGUUUGAAAAAUUGCCAGAGAGAUAAAUUUGGUAGCAAUGAGUGCCAAAGUGCCUUCAAGUCUUUUUACCUUAAGUUGAGGGUAGUCAGUACCCUACUGAAUCAAGCUCAUAAUUUGUAAUAAUCUUUCCUUCUUUCCACAUAAGCACUAGCAAUUGCACCAUAAGCCACAUGUAGUGCACCUCGCAUUGCAGAAGCUAGUAAUAAGGGAGCAACAUGAUGUGUGGUAACAGGACACCCCAGGAACCAGUCUAGUAUCACAGUCAGUUCUUCUGGUAAAAGUUGUUUUAGUCACGGUUUCUUAAGUUACAGUCUGCUGUCUAUUUAAAUAUAAUUCAUUGACAGUGCUGUUGUUCCGUUGAAGGUCUAGAGUUUUUUUUACGUUAUUUGUUCUUACAGUUUCAGAGCCACAUGCUGCAGCCCAUGGCAUGAAUAUGGCUGGUGAAUUCUCUGCCUCUCUCUAGUUGAGUAAAAGCUUCAGGACCAGUCCCUAAAUCCUAUACCCAGGGGUUUUCAACCUCUUUUAAGGAGUGUACCCCUUCUGGUACACCUCUGGCAGGAGCGGGGGGUCUAGCACACGGCAGUGUCGCCGUGUCCAAGCUCCCCCACACCGUGGCCAGCUGGCUGCAUGGCCUGCAGGGGGGAGCUGCUGUCCUCACCCCUCCGCCCAGCCCUGCUCCUGGGAUGCAGCGGCAUUUGGUGGUGGACAUCCCCGGCCGCCCACAUGUACCCCUUAGUCCCUUCCCAAGUCCCCCUGGAGGGUACGUGUACCCCUAGUUGACAAUACCUGCUAUACCCCAAAACUGUCUCAGAGGAAUGUCUGUCUUUCCAAAACGUCAUACUGCAAUUACUGUUAUGCUAUUUAAAAUAGAAAAUUAAUUUUCAUGUAGCAUAAAAUCACCCUGGCUGCUUCUUUAAGCAUCAUUUAGAAAGUGUCAUCUGAAAUGUGAAAUAUAGUUUGUCAGUCUUCAAAUAAUACAUAUUAAAAUUUGAAAGUCAAAGCUGUCUUGAGAGAAUAAGAUGCCUGUUCUCUUCUAUCUUAAUUAAAGUCCAUUUCUUAGCCUUUCUGAAGAUUUAGAAACUAUCUCAUAUUUCAAUUAAGCAAAUUAUUUAAUUUUUUUUAUGCAGCACAUAUUUUUAAUUAUCUGAAUGUAAAUUUUAAAGCAAUUAAAGAUUCAAAUGGAUUUGUUCUUCCAAUAUUAUGAUUUAGUUUAUUUCUUUUUGCAACAAUUUUCAUUAGCAUAUUGCCUAGUAGAAAUAGCUUUUAAUUUUAAGUAAUAAUUAUGAUCUACAUAUUUAGACCCUACAUACUUAAUACACUAAAUCAUGUGUUGCCUUAUUGUUUGUGAAAGGAAACACACAGCCAGCAUUGCAAGUCAGGACUCUAUUGUAUUGUUUGUGGAGCUGAAAUAUUACCAAAAGCAGAAGGAAUUUUGAAAAAAACUGUCUGCAGUAACACUGAACUGAAAGUAAUCCAGAAACUCUUCCAAAAUAUAAAUGUCAGAGCUACAAAGUGCCCUAGCAGUUGCAUGUGUGAAUUAGGUGACACUUCAGAAGAUGAUAACGUGGUGUUGAUCAUCACAGAUAAUGCAAGUCUUAGCCAUCUGAAAGAAACUUUGAAGGUUUAUCAGACUCCAGUUAAGUGUGAAGACAUGGAUGCUGAUUUAUCUUUAAAUGCUAUUUGGAAUAUGAAGGAAUAUUCUCUGACCAGCUAUUUGCAGUGCAGGGCUUGCGUUGUCAGAGCUGUGUCUCCAUGUCCUUUGGUGGGAGCUGAAAUUACGGAUUUCAGCCACAAUGCACAGUCAAGG